rnacentral:ncRNA from 1 species
CCAAAAUUAAGUGAGCUAUUGUAGAACAGUUGUCAGAACGACCUCGUCUAUAUGGCAAAAUAGUGAGAUGAUUUUACAAUAGGGGUGAAAAGCCUAUCAAACUAAAUGAUAGCUG